rnacentral:rRNA from 1 species
CCUACGGGGGGCAGCAGUCGAGAAUCAUUCACAAUGGGGGAAACCCUGAUGGUGCGACGCCGCGUGGGGGAAUGAAGGUCUUCGGAUUGUAAACCCCUGUCAUGUGGGAGCAAAUUAAAAAGAUAGUACCACAAGAGGAAGAGACGGCUAACUCUGUGCCAGCAGCCGCGGUAAUACAGAGGUCUCAAGCGUUGUUCGGAACCACUGGGCGUAAAGCGUGCGUAGGCUGUUUCGUAAGUCGUGUGUGAAAGGCGGGGGCUCAACCCGCGGACGGCACAUGAUACUGCGAGACUAGAGUAAUGGAGGGGGAACCGGAAUUCGCGGUGUAGCAGUGAAAUGCGUAGAUAUCGAGAGGAACACUCGUGGCGAAGGCGGGUUCCUGGACAUUAACUGACGCUGAGGCACGAAGGCCAGGGGAGCGAAAGGGAUUAGAUACCCUUGUAGUC